rnacentral:rRNA from 1 species
CACGCAGUAAACGAUGAAUACUAGCUGUAUGCGAUAUACUGUAUGUGGCAAAGCGAAAGCAUUAAGUAUUCCACCUGGGGAGUACGUUCGCAAGAAUGAAACUCAAAGGAAUUGACGGGGGCCCGCACAAGCGGAGGAACAUGUGGUUUAAUUCGAUGAUACGCGAGGAACCUUACCCGGGCUUGAAAUGCAAUCGACGGUAUUGGAAACAUUACUUCCAGCAAUGGCGAUUGUGUAGGUGC